rnacentral:rRNA from 1 species
GGUGAACGCUGGCGGUAGGCCUAACACAUGCAAGUCGAACGGCAGCACAGUAAGAGCUUGCUCUUACGGGUGGCGAGUGGCGGACGGGUGAGGAAUACAUCGGAAUCUACUUUUUCGUGGGGGAUAACGUAGGGAAACUUACGCUAAUACCGCAUACGACCUACGGGUGAAAGCAGGGGAUCUUCGGACCUUGCGCGAUUGAAUGAGCCGAUGUCGGAUUAGCUAGUUGGCGGGGUAAAGGCCCACCAAGGCGACGAUCCGUAGCUGGUCUGAGAGGAUGAUCCGCCACACUGGAACUGAGACACGGUCCAGACUCCUACGGGAGGCAGCAGUGGGGAAUAUUGGACAAUGGGCGCAAGCCUGAUCCAGCCAUACCGCGUGGGUGAAGAAGGCCUUCGGGUUGUAAAGCCCUUUUGUUGGGAAAGAAAAGCAGCAGGUUAAUACCCCGCUGUUCUGACGGUACCCAAAGAAUAAGCACCGGCUAACUUCGUG